rnacentral:rRNA from 1 species
AUUGAACGCUGGCGGCAUGCCUUACACAUGCAAGUCGAACGGCAGCACGGGUGCUCGCACCUGGUGGCGAGUGGCGAACGGGUGAGUAAUACAUCGGAACGUACCUUAUCGUGGGGGAUAACGCAGCGAAAGUUGCGCUAAUACCGCAUACGCCCUGAGGGGGAAAGCGGGGGACCGUAAGGCCUCGCGCGAUUAGAGCGGCCGAUGUCUGAUUAGCUUGUUGGUGAGGUAAAAGCUCACCAAGGCGAUGAUCAGUAGCUGGUCUGAGAGGACGAUCAGCCACACUGGGACUGAGACACGGCCCAGACUCCUACGGGAGGCAGCAGUGGGGAAUUUUGGACAAUGGGGGCAACCCUGAUCCAGCAAUGCCGCGUGAGUGUAGAAGGCCUUCGGGUUGUAAAGCUCUUUUGUCAGGGAAGAAACAGCAGCUCUAACACAGUCUGCGAAUGACGGUACCUGAAGAAUAAGCACCGGCUAACUACGUGCCAGCCGCCGCUGUAA